AAGUCGUAACAAGGUUUCCGUAGGUGAACCUGCGGAAGGAUCAUUAACAAUCCGGUAGUGAGUGUGGGGGAUUUAUUCUCGAGCUCGCUUUCACACGUUGAAAUGUGGGGUCCAUCUAUGGACACUAAACAUCACACAAUCAUACUAUAUCUAUCUACACACAAAGCGACAACUCGCAGCAACGGAUCUCUAGGCUCUU
rnacentral:misc_RNA from 1 species